ACAACUCAGAAAAGGCUAAAAAAAAUCCAGUUAGACGACGUAAAUUAAUUUAUUAAAAAAAAAGUCGGCGCUGUCUAUUUGAACAGGUCAGAAUACAGACUGUGGGAUCGGGGGCCAAUAUUUAGGUAGCAGUGCGGGAGAGUGAAGCUGAAUGGGCUGAGUUUGUCUGUGUUGGGAGGGGUAAGCUGAAUUCUUUCUUUAAGCAGCGCUUGAUACAGACGGCCCGCCUGGCAGGCGCCCCGAGCCUCACAAAAGGACAGGAUGUGUUCAUUUCCCGGAAGAAUCGGGGACUAUACAAACACGAGGGAUGGGAGGAGAGGCAGCUACAAAACAAGAAACCUGAAAUAACCCAUUAACAAAAAAGUCUACAAACGCGCAAUGAGAGAGUGAGCAGCUUCAAGUUCCUGGGUGUCAAGAUCUCUGAGGAUCUAACCUGGUCCCAACACGUCGAUGUAGUUACAAAGAAGGCAAAACAGCGGCUAUACUUCAUUAGGAGUUUGAAGAGAUUUGGCAUUUCAACAAAUACUCUCAAAAAUUUCUAUAGUCGUGCCAUGGAGAGCAUUCUGACAGGCUGCAUCACUGUCUGGUAUGGAGGGGCUACUGCACAGGACUGAAAGAAGCUGCAGAAGGUUGUAAAUCUAGUCAGCUCCAUCUUGGGUACUAGUCUACAAAGUACCCAGGACAUCUUUAGGGAGCGAUGUCUCAGAAAGGCAGCGUCCAUUUUUAAGGACCUCCAGCAUCCAGGGCAUGCCCUUUUCUCACUGUUAUCAUCAGGUAGGAGGUACCGAAGCCUAAAGGCACACACUCAGCGAUUCAGGAACAGCUUCUUCCCCUCUGUCACCCGAUUCUGAAAUGGACAUUGAAUUUUUGGACAACCAUCUCACUUUUUAAAAAUAUACAGUAUUUCUGUUUUUACAUGGUUUUUUAAAACUAUUCAAUAUACAUAAUUGAUUUACUUGUUUAUUAUUAUUAUUAUUAUUUUAUUUUUUUUUCUCUGCUAGAUUAUGUAUUACAUUGAACUGCUGCUGCUAAGUUAACAAAUUUCACGUCACAUGCUGGUGAUAAUAAAUCUGAUUCUGAUUCUGAUUCUAUGGUUUUAAUGCACCCAACAGAUUAGGAGAAUGGAC